AGAGUUUGAUCCUGGCUCAGGACGAACGCUGGCGGCGUGCUUAACACAUCCAAGUCGAACGAUGAACCACUUCGGUGGGGAUUAGUGGCGAACGGGUGAGUAACACGUGGGCAAUCUGCCCUGCACUCUGGGACAAGCCCUGGAAACGGGGUCUAAUACCGGAUACUGACCAUCGCAGGCAUCUGUGGUGGUCGAAAGCUCCGGCGGUGCAGGAUGAGCCCGCGGCCUAUCAGCUUGUUGGUGAGGUAGUGGCUCACCAAGGCGACGACGGGUAGCCGGCCUGAGAGGGCGACCGGCCACACUGGGACUGAGACACGGCCCAGACUCCUACGGGAGGCAGCAGUGGGGAAUAUUGCACAAUGGGCGAAAGCCUGAUGCAGCGACGCCGCGUGAGGGAUGACGGCCUUCGGGUUGUAAACCUCUUUCAGCAGGGAAGAAGCGAAAGUGACGGUACCUGCAGAAGAAGCGCCGGCUAACUACGUGCCAGCGGCCGCGGUAAUACGUAGGGCGCGAGCGUUGUCCGGAAUUAUUGGGCGUAAAGAGCUCGUAGGCGGCUUGUCACGUCGGUUGUGAAAGCCCGGGGCUUAACCCCGGGUCUGCAGUCGAUACGGGCAGGCUAGAGUUCGGUAGGGGAGAUCGGAAUUCCUGGUGUAGCGGUGAAAUGCGCAGAUAUCAGGAGGAACACCGGUGGCGAAGGCGGAUCUCUGGGCCGAUACUGACGCUGAGGAGCGAAAGCGUGGGGAGCGAACAGGAUUAGAUACCCUGGUAGUCCACGCCGUAAACGGUGGGCACUAGGUGUGGGCAACAUUCCACGUUGUCCGUGCCGCAGCUAACGCAUUAGUGCCCGCCUGGGAGUACGGCGCAAGCUAAACUCAAGGAUUGACGGGGGCCCCACAGCGGCGAACUGUGCUUAUUCACCACCCGAAACUUCCAGCUGCUAACGAACAUAAAGGGCCCUUGGCGG
rnacentral:rRNA from 1 species